rnacentral:rRNA from 1 species
CAACUUUCAACAACGGAUCUCUUGGCUCUCGCAUCGAUGAAGAACGCAGCGAAAUGCGGUACGUAAUGUGAAUUGCAGAAUUCAGUGAAUCAUCGAAUCUUUGAACGCAUAUUGCGCUCUUUGGUAUUCCGAAGAGCAUGCUUGUUUGAGUAUCAGUA